AGCGAACGCUGGCGGCAGGCUUAACACAUGCAAGUCGAACGGGCAUAGCAAUAUGUCGGUGGCAGACGGGUGAGUAACGCGUGGGAACGUACCUUUUGGUUCGGAACAACACAGGGAAACUUGUGCUAGUACCGGAUAAGCCCUUACGGGGAAAGAUUUAUCGCCGAAAGAUCGGACCGCGUCUGAUUAGCUAGUUGGUAGGGUAAUGGCCUACCAAGGCGACGAUCAGUAGCUGGUCUGAGAGGAUGAUCAGACACAUUGGGACUGAGACACGGCCCAAAAUCCUACGGGAGGCGGGAGUGGGGAAUAUUGGACAAUGGGCGAAAGGCUGAUGCAGCCAUGCCGGGUGAGUGAUGAAGGCACGAGGGUUGUAAAGCUCUAGUGUGCGGGAAGAUAAUGACGGUACCGAAAGAAUAAGCCCCGGCUAACUUCGUG
rnacentral:rRNA from 1 species